GUGAUCCGGUGACGGAUGGGCAUGCGUGACAUUAGCUAGUCGGCGGGGUAACGGCCCACCGAGGCGACGAUGUCUAGGGGUUCUGAGAGGAAGGUCCCCCACACUGGUACUGAGACACGGACCAGACUCCUACGGGAGGCAGCAGUGAGGAAUAUUGGUCAAUGGGCUUACGCCUGAACCAGCCAAGUCGCGUGAGGGAAGACUGCCCUAUGGGUUGUAAACCUCUUUUGUCAGGGAGCAACGCCGGCUACGUGUAGCCGGACUGAGAGUACCUGAAGAAAAAGCAUCGGCUAACUCCGUGCCAGCAGCCGCGGUAAUACGGAGGAUGCGAGCGUUAUCCGGAUUUAUUGGGUUUAAAGGGUGCGUAGGCGGAAUGCCAAGUCAGCGGUAAAAUCGCGGGGCUCAACCUCGCUCCGCCGUUGAAACUGGCGUUCUUGAGUGGGCGAGAAGUAUGCGGAAUGCGUGGUGUAGCGGUGAAAUGCAUAGAUAUCACGCAGAACUCCGAUUGCGAAGGCAGCAUACCGGCGCCCAACUGACGCUGAAGCACGAAAGCGUGGGUAUCGAACAGGAUUAGAUACCCUGGUAGUCCACGCAGUAAACGAUGAAUACUAGCUGUUCGGGGCAAUUGGGCCUUGAGUGGC
rnacentral:rRNA from 1 species